UGCAACGAAGGUGGGGCAGGCUGUGGCCAAGACUCCUCCAGGAAGUUUGUCUCUUUCUACUCCUCAACUCCAGUUGUAGUCAGCAUCCAGCAACCUUCUCUGAGGUCCUCUCAGAUCAAGGGGAAAGAGGACAGUUUUUCUUUGGUCCUUAAGAAUCCAGCUUCCGAGUCUCAGACGGGCCCGCGGUGGAGUCCAUGGCUUCCCAAUCUACCCCCUACAACCCCACGCCCCGCACUAUUUCGCGGAAGGUGAGCGCGUGCCCCACCCUCGUCCUUUCUCGCCCCAGCCGCCUCCCCCGCAAGUCCUGCGACGCUCGUUCAAGGGAAUGGCUUUUAUUUAUUAGGGUCAGUGGGCCCCAGCACAGCAGGGACAAAGGGCGUGUGGACGCGGAGGAGUACGGUGGGAAGCAAGGUCUUGAU